rnacentral:misc_RNA from 1 species
GAUGAAGAACGUAGCGAAAUGCGAUAAGUAAUGUGAAUUGCAGAAUUCAGUGAAUCAUCGAAUCUUUGAACGCACCUUGCACCCUUUGGUAUUCCGAAGGGUAUGCUCGUUUGAGUGUCAUUGUACUCUCACACUUCUAAUUCCUUUCGGGAUUGGGAGCGGUGGACUUGGGUGUUGCUGCUUUAGUUGUGGCUCACCUCAAAUAAGUUAGUGCAACUCUUGGUUGGACAUAGUACGGCGUGAUAAGUGUCUUCGCCGGCGCCUCUGUAAGGAGGGUGGCCGAUCGGGAGCUCUGUGCUUCAAACCGUCUUCGGACAAUCUUUGACAACUUGACCUCAAAUCGAGUAGGACUACCCGCUGAACAUAAGCAUAUCAAUAAGCGGAGGA